UACGGAGGGUGCAAGCGUUAUCCGGAUUCACUGGGUUUAAAGGGAGCGUAGGUGGGAUGGUAAGUCAGUGGUGAAAUCUCCGGGCUUAACUCGGAAACUGCCGUUGAUACUAUCAUUCUUGAAUAUUGUGGAGGUAAGCGGAAUAUGUCAUGUAGCGGUGAAGUGCUUAGAUAUGACAUAGAACACCAAUAGCGAAGGCAGCUUGCUACACAAUUAUUGACACUGAGGCUCGAAAGCGUGGGGAUCAAACAGG
rnacentral:rRNA from 1 species